rnacentral:lncRNA from 1 species
GCACAAUUGGUCAGCCUCAACCCUAAUCUCUUCCUAUAAAUAAUAGUAUCUGAACGUGAUUUGGACAGGUUUUAUCCUCCGCCCUAUACCAUUUUAGCUAUCCAAAUUGCUCUAAAACAUCUUUCUUUGGCAUUCUCAUUUUGUCUCUGUCAAAAACUCUAGUUUUCGAGUGUGUUUCGAUAUCGUUGUCAUCGAUUUUGAGCGUAGACUAUGGACCAAAGCACCCCCACCCCCGUUCACUGCCAUGCAUCAGGUACAUCUGUCUCCCCUUUUCUCUGUUUCGUCCCUUUAAUAAAAUCUUACAUUAUGUGUGUUUGAAAAAUGUGUAUUAAGAGUUCUGUUUAAGUUAAUCAACUAUAGUGUUAAAAAUGUAUUUUUCUGCUUUAGUUUAAGGCCUGAGAGACUCAAGGUCACAUUCUUUCCACGUUUUGGUUGUCAUGAAUCUGAGAAUGAUUUCUUGUCUUUUGGAUUCACUAUUUGUGCAAAAUUAUUUUUUUUGUUUCUAGAUUAAUACUAGUUAUGGAGAAUUCAUCAAAUGUUUGUUUUGUCUAGUUUAAGGAUGUUGUUUUGUUUAGUUAAAAAAUAUUAUACAGAGUUUUCAUCAAACCUCCUCUAAAUAGACUUUUUUUGGCCUUUCUUUUUAAGUCUUUGUAUUUGUUCUAUUUAGCAAAUAUGUGUAGGUAAGUUAUGGUUCUAAAAUGUCAUCAUACCUGAAAUACUCUUCGAUCAUUCUUUUCGUUCGUGUUUUAUUUUUUAAAAAAACUGUCUUCAUUAUACUUUAAACCUAGUAGAUGUGAGGAUUAUUUUUCGGACAUAUAUCACAAUUUAGCUAUUUUAAGUUGGUUUGAGAGUCCCCAAUUGUGAGAUGGUUAUGUCGUUAGACACUUGCAUAUUUAAUGCGUUGUAUGGUACCUUUGUUAUAUGAUUUAUCUAAUCUAUUUUAUUCAAAACCAUUGAGGAGUUAACCGGCUUUCACUUUAAGUCAUUAAUUUGUGUAUUUUCGAGAAAUCUGUGUACCAGAUAUUUUGUCUAAGUUACUUGGCUAUAAUAGAAGUAGUAUUAAAAUGCACUUUGUUUGAGUUUAAGGCUUGUAGAGAUUCGAAGUCACAUUCCUUUCACGUUUUCGCUAUAAUGAACUUGUGAAUUAUUUUUUUUCUGAGGAUACUUGCAUCAAAUCAGUUUUUUCUUGUUUCUAAAUUGACGUUAGUUACAUAGUUCUCUGAAAAAGGAAAAAAAAUGUUGAGGAGAUGUUGACUUUUGGUUACUUUUGUUUUGAUCAUUUGCCAUCUAUCUCAUCUAAUAUAAUGUGAGCCCAUAAUCCUCAAAGGCCUUGCCUACGAUUUUAUUCCCUUUCUGCAUAUUGCGCACACAUUUUUUCUGGAAGCUUUUAUACAUUUUGUUGGCAGGACAUAUAUGUAGAAAGGUUCAUUUUUGUAGAACAUAUAAUGUUUUGAGGUCCUGGAAUCUUUUUUCAUGUUUUAAAAGAUAUGUGUUUGGAUAUUGUUUGAGACUUAUACAAGUCUGUAUCUAAUCUCGCCUAGCGUAGACAUUACUGAAUUAAAAAAAAAUGGUUUGUUUUGGGGAUAAAAAUGGGGUCAGCUUCUUCGAUUUCACUCCAAGAUUUUUGCUCAUUUGGAAAUGAGAAUGCCAGUGAAAGAUGUUUUAGAGAAGUCUUCAGAGAAGUCUUUGCCAUGAGAAAAGUCUUGCUUUUAAGGCUCUUUGUCAUGAGAGAAAUCUUGCUUUUAAGGCUCGACGUAUCGAUGGAAACAUGCAUCACUCAUCAUGCAUUGCCCUUGUUUCACCCAUUCGAAUAGAAAACAAAAAUGAGCGCGAAGGAGUUGCUAUUUCCAUCUUAGCCUUUCCCUUUACUUGGUUCUUUAUAUGUUUUGUUAUAUUUAUUUAGUUAGCGUUGUCUUCAAUAUUUUGAUUAUUUUCAUAGAACAACAAAGUCGCGAAUAAUUAUGAAGUCAGACGGGUUAGUAGAGAAUGUAAGAGUACUGUGUGUUAAUUCCUACAGUGUUUCCAAGGGAAUAGUUACGCCCCUUUUUUAGAACCAAGUUUUCUCUUGUUUAAAUUCCAAAAAGAUCCUUCUGAAAUUUGCAAAUAAAAAAAAAAAUAUUUUAAACAUUUGAUGUUCCUCUUUCAACUGUAAACAAACAUGUUUCAUUAAAAAAAAUUACAUAUUUUUUUAAUAAGGUUUUUUUAAAACUUUUUUUAAUUGCAAGAAUAGAAAGAAUCCUGCUUUAAUAUGUUUGAAUUUCCCAGAAUUUUUUUUCUAUUUAACAUUUUAUGUCACCUAAUUAACAAAAAGGGGAGAUAAAAGGUCGAAGAUUCUUGUUUUAGUUAAAGCCAAAUGAACCUUCUUUUUUAAAAAAAAAAAUAUCACUUGUUGUUCCGCCAAUGCAAAAGCUCUUUUUAAGUUUAAAUUUUCCCACUAAGUUUAAAAAAUGUUUUCUCACUUUAUAGCUAGGCAUUCUUUUUUUAUUUUUUUAAAUUAUCUUAGAACUUAUUUUGAUUUUAGUUAAUUUGAUUAAUCUAAGUUUGAUCGGUUAAUCAUAGUUAUCGGAUUCCUUAGGGAGCCUAACCCCUUCCCUAUAGGAUAAUUAGAAUCUUUAUCUAGAAUUACUUUAAGUUAAGUAGACCUUAAAAUGAAGUUUUUAUUUUCUUUUAAUCACAUAGUGUAGAAUUGGUGUCCUAAUUCACUGUAGAAACUAAUUAGGUGGCGACUUGCUUAAUUUAAUUAUAAGUUUUUCAAUAUGUUGUACCUUGGUUUGAUCCGUGUUAAAAUAGGGUAUAAUAGCUUGGCGACUUCACCGGCGAUUAUUAGGUUCUUAAUUAGAAUGAUUGAAGGCGUCCUGCACAAGUUGAGGAUAUAGUGAAAAAAUUUCAAUUCAACGUAAAAGUUAGCGGUCACAAGAAAAUUAUGGUGCCUUUCUACACUCUUCAAGAUCUCUCCUGAUAAGCUUGUGGUUAGAGAAUUGAUUUCAUUUUGGGACCCAAUCGAGUUAUAUUUUCAUUCAAAGACUUUGAAGUCACCACCACAUUAGAGGAGAUCAAUUAUUUCACUAAUUUAAAGUAUCAAGGGAGAGGUCAGAUCACUCUGCAUAGUCAAUUAGGAAAGAAAUUUCUUUGCUACUUGGUGUUAAAGAACACUAAUAAACUCCGAUGCUUCAAAAAUAAUUGGGUUUCUUUUGGAUUAUGUGUACGAGAGAUAUGAUUGUCAAGUCAGUUAUAAGUUGUUUAAGAAAGAAUUCACUUGCACUUUUAACAAUUGGUGGGUUAGAUGUCUGAUUACAUUUAUCGUUACCUUGUUAGGAACUUUGGUAUUUCCGCGAGAAUAUGAAAAUAUCAGUACCUACAUAUGUUCUAUGGCUCGAGAACUUUUUAAAAGAGUUGAUGGAGCAGAAAUCACCUUGGUUCCUAUGAUCUUGACAGAAAUAUUUCGUGUACUUGGAAAGUGUAAAACAGGUAAAACAAGCUUCUUUAAAGGUUUCAAUCGUCUUCUGCAGAUAUGGGCAACAGAGCAUCUCUACAAACUUGACAACUUAAUUGACAUAAUGUUUAGUGCUUCACAUGUGAUUGACCCUUAUGAUAAAAGGAUGAGAAGAUUUGUGUUCCCAAUCGACACUGAUGAUUGGUUUGAUAUUUUAGCCUCCCGUACCAGUGACCAAAUCUAGUGGAAAUACCAUUACUCUCAUGUUCUAUGGCUUACAUAGGAUGCAGAGGACUUUAUUAUAUUGAUCUUAUCAGUUUGAAAUGUCUAUAAUGGUCAGACAUAAAUCAUCCCCCUCCGAGCAAAUGUGCGAGUUUCUGAAGUCUUCUUUGGAUCAUACUUUAGAGUCCCUAAAGCUAGUCAAAUUCUACAUGAAUGGAGUAAUAUUCUCACAAUAUAUGUGAGGCAUAGAUCAGCAGAGUGUAUUCCAGAAUAUCAAGUAUGGAUUCGAGAAUAUUGUGGCAAUAUAGACCCUAGUCCACAAGGUGAACAAGGUUUUGAUGAUGUUGGAAUGACUAUUUGGAUAAGGCAUUCUCGUCUUGGAAUCAUGGUGGUCACGCCUGAAAUGUGGGCUCAAAUGGCCAACAUAAUAUAGUAUUUGGAAAAUGCGGGAGUGGGGCCUAAUAAUAUUGGAGCAUCAUCUUCACAUCCUCCAUCGACAUGAUUAGAAGCAGGGUCUAAGCCACGUCCUAGGAUUGUCUUUGUACUUUUUAUGUAUUUUGACUUUAUUUCUUAUUAUUGUACUUGAUUAAUAUUUCAAUGAACCAUGGCCUUUUAUUUCAAAAAUCAAAUCUUGUCUUAAAUAAUGGCUUGGAUCAAUUUAUCAUAAUCUCAAUUAUUUGACGCUUAGGUCCACCUCUUGUCACAAAAGAGGUCAUGUUCAUAGUAGGAUGCAUUUUGAGUUUUCUGAUAUUAGGUGCUUUGUUUGCAACAUGAUACAUGUUUUUCUUUCUUUUCCAACAUUUUUUGCUUAUGUAACGACCCUUCCGGUCAUUUGUGAAAUUUUCCCGUCUUCUCUAUUUUAGCGCUCUCUGUAGUUGGUGUAUGUGAAUUAUGACUCACAAGAUGAGUAGUCUCAAUGCUUGAGGUAUUUGAAAGUUUUGAAUAUUUUAAACAAUUAGUUAAUUAAUAAAUUAAUGGAUCAAAAUAGCCAUUUAUUUAUUUAUGUGGUUAAUAUAAGAAUUGAAUUAAGUAGAAGAGGUUUAUCUUAUUUAACAAUAAUAUAAUACCACUAAAAGUUGAAAUAAAAGUAGUGGCUGAACGUAGCAAUUACAAGAUUCACACGAACGGUUUAAGGAAUUCGCAAUAAUCAUCAGGUUAGCCACUUGAGAAAUUAUUAAUAGUAUAUUUAUGUAGGCGUUUGGAUGUAUUGCAGUGUUAAAGAGAAGUGCGGCAAAUUUUGUUAAUUGGAAUUGGCUAAUAAAGAACUUAGUCUUUAAUAUGACAAAGUGUUGAUGGCCCAAUGGAAUUGGCCAAUUACAGACAGCACUUGAUAAGCCUUUUAUGGAAUUUUGCAUAUGUUGUAGGGGUCCGUACAAUGACCAUUUUUCUCAUUAUUUAAUAAUUGUUUUUCUCUUCUCUUUUCUUUCCGUAAUUUACUUCAUAUAUUAAAGAGAUUGCAGUUUAGGUCUAGAAUUUUUAGAGUAAGAAUAUAUAAAUUGGAGUUAUUAGAUUCGUAUUUUUAUAUGAACUAUAUGCUUGAACAGAUUUGGAUCUUUUAAAAGCUUUACGAAAGGGCAAGACCUUGACAAAUUUGCUUGUGUUUGAAUUCUUCGGUUGAGGUAGUUUACGGUUUAAUUAGAGUUUAGCCUUGACUUAAGUGUUUGUAUGCUCCUAAAUUGAAUACUUGUUGAUUGGUAUUUGGACAUGCUUCAAAUUGUUGAUGUUUGGAUUUUUAAUGCGUGUAUAAAUGAUUAUUAAAAAUUUACUCGAUGAAAUUGUCUUAUGACUUUAAGUGUACUUGUAAACUUGGUACAUUGUAUCGUAUGUUUGUGAAUUUGUGUAAAUUUGAUGUUGAUAAUACUUGUUUAUGUUGGAUCGGGUACCAUGCCGGUACGGAUAUGUAUAUGUUUGAUUGGGUACCACGUUGAUACGGAUAUAUAUAUGUUGGAUCGGGUAUCACGCCGGUACGAAUAUUUAUAUGUUGGAUCAGGUACCACGCUGGUACGGAUAUGUAUAUGUUGGAUCGGGACCACGCCGGUACAGAUAUGCAUAUGUUGGAUCGGGUACCUCACCAGUACGGAUAUGUAUAUGUUGGAUCGGGUACCUCACCAGUACAGAUAUGUAUAUGUUGGAUCGGUACCACAUUGGUACAGAUAUGUAUAUGUUAGAUCGGGUGCCAUAUCAGUACAAAUAUGUAUAUGUUGGAUCAAGUACCACGAUGGUACGGAUAUGUAUAUGUUGGAUCGAGUACUACGCCGGUACGAAUAUAUAUAUGUUGGAUCGGGUACCACGCCGGUAAGGAUAUAGAUAUGUUGGAUUGGGUACCACGCCGGUAUGGUACAUGAACAUAUACUAUUCCCUGCAAGUCAUGACUAUUUGGGCAAAAAUAAGUCUCAUAGCAUGUGUGUAUAUAUUUGUGUUGAUUCUGUGGAUGUUUACAGUAUGGUUGAUACUUUUAAUAGUUAUGUGGCUUGGUUAUGAGUAUUGUUUGACCUGUUAUUGCUAUAUUAUCGAUUCAUUAAAUUGUUAGUAUAUAACGAUGCAUGUCUACUUGUUAUUUGAUUUACGUUAUGUACAUGCUAUUAAGUUGAGUUGGCCUAUGAUGCCUACCAGUACAUAGUAGUUUGUACUGAGACUACCUUGUACUCUCUUUUUUUUAGUGCAGAAAACGUUCUAGAGGCUUAGACAUGACCUUACCUCUAGAGUUUGAUAACAGAUCUUGAUCCAAGGGUGAGCACUCCAUCUCCAAGCUGCCAUGGGUCAUCUUGUUUUUUCUCUUCCAUCUUUUGGAAAAUGAAACAUUCUUUAUUUACUUUAUGUUUUGGAUAUAUUUUUAGACCUGAUCUUGGUUAGUAGUUCUUGUAUGAUGACUUUCAGGUCUUGGGGAUUUUAGCAAGUAGUUUGUUUGACUUCCGCAUUAAUAAUUAUUAGUCCUGAAUUAUUGUUAUUAUGUUGAUUUUAUAAUGAUUUAUCUUAAUAUUGACUAAGUGAUUGAGUGAUGAUUCCAGUUAGAUGGUUCUCCCACA